rnacentral:rRNA from 1 species
CAGUCGCCGCGGUAAUACGAAGGGGGCUAGCGUUGCUCGGAAUCACUGGGCGUAAAGGGUGCGUAGGCGGGUCUUUAAGUCAGGGGUGAAAUCCUGGAGCUCAACUCCAGAACUGCCUUUGAUACUGAAGGUCUUGAGUUCGGGAGAGGUGAGUGGAACUGCGAGUGUAGAGGUGAAAUUCGUAGAUAUUCGCAAGAACACCAGUGGCGAAGGCGGCUCACUGGCCCGAUACUGACGCUGAGGCACGAAAGCGUGGGGAGCAAACAGGACUAGAGACCCCUGUAGUCCCUGUCUCUUAUAC